UCCAGUCGCUGCCUUCCGUCCCCUCCUAGCUCCUUCUCUCGGCUCCGAGUCCACACUGGGGCAAGUACCGAUGCCGCGACGUCCAGGCCGACCCACACCGUGCGGUGGUGUGCGCCUGGAUUUCGGGAGGCCGCACCGACUCGUCCCCGGGGAGCUGCGUCGUGGUGGGCGUUGCCACCGAACGCGAAGGGAAGCGAUGACUCCACUGCCCGAGCGGCGGGGGACGGCUGGAUAUGGCGCUAGCGAGAUGGUUCGUUGAGCCGCGGCAGAGGCAGCUGUCGCUGGUUAGGAAGGCAGCAACACAGCCACGGUUCAGGCCGCCCAUCUCUGUCCGAUGCUGCCGCGCUGAGGCACCAAGCGAGCUGCAUCGAGUCGGCACUCUACAGGCGCCUGGCUGAGGCGGCUCCGUUGUGCUGGGAUGCUGUCGUCCCUUCUUCAAUGGCGUUCGUCGCAGACGGCGUCCUCACCCCCAGCUUGUCCCUCGAGGCGUCGACCCAGCGGGAUGUCAGUUGGUUGCCUCACCGUUUCGAGUUCACUGUGUUUUAUUUCUGAUUUUUUGCGGGUUUUUAUUUCAGAAUUUUUUAGACAGUAUUUGGUUGUAUACGUGCAGGCAACAACUAUUGCAUGUUCUCGUCGCUGGAGAUCGGCUACUCAGGAGCAUGGGUAGGGUCAAUGUGGUGGUAGAUAUGGCGUCUCUGACGUCGGCGUUGUUCUCCGCUGGAGAAUAUCUUUUUUGAAGGCUCCGCCCCAAAAUAUCUGGGACAUGUUGUAGAUUGAAUAUCUGGGAUAUAUGCUACAAUAUUAUCCGGAGUUAUCUGUAAAGCUUUUUUUUUACCUGAUCUGUAAAGUGUUGUAGUCUUUCUUUCAUUUGUAUAAUAAUAAAGUGUUGUGUUGUCGUGUGUUUA